CCUCUUGCCAGGCCUGCAGCUGCCCCUGCUCAAAGGCUCCGCAGCCCCAGCCCCAGCCCCAGCCGGCGGGUGGCUGAUGGGGCAGGUGUGGGCAGGAUGCCUGGCUGUUCCUGAGACUAGAUUUUCUCAUCUGCCAGCCUUUCAGCUUCCCUGAGCCCUCUAGCAGUACCUGCAGACAUUUGUUGACUUAGAAACUUUUUCUUGAUGAUGUACUUACUUGGAUACAGGAGCUGGAGUCUAGGUUCAAGGCUGGAGUUCCAAGAUUUGUCAGGAAACUACAGCCUGCAUUGAAGAAAUGUCAGCCUGCAUAGAAACGCGAACUUCAGGGUUGAAAAGACCUUGAAUGUGGUUCUAACCACACCCCCCUCUCCUUGUCCCUCCUCUGUCCACAAAAGUUUCUUCCCCAAGUUGUUAUCUUUUCUCUCCUCACCUCUUAGUAGUCUCAGAGCAGUUUUUUCUAUUUUUAGUUCCACUCUUAAAGUCAUAGAGUUUGUGCCACGCCCUGUGCUAGACAGAAGAGUGUGAACCCAGAUCAGCCACAAGGAGUCACUGGUCUGGUAUUGCGGAGGAGACAAAUACAUUUUUUUAAAAAUCAUUUUGGGAAACAGAAUUAGUAUAGCCUUCCCAGGAAAUGUAAAGCUUGAGCAUAUCACUGACACAGAUGGUGUGGUGGACUGAGUUGGGGGGGGACAAACCUAGGGGUCUGGCUGGAGGCAUCGGAAGAGCCCCGCGCCUCCCAGCUGGGGAGGGAGGUAGAGAGCAGACCUUGGUUGAAGGAAGUUAAUCUAGCAGUGGCACAUAGAAUAGACUUGAGGGUGGGAAGACUUCUUUCUAGAAAUAACCUGACUUAAUAGAAUGCUUUUCUGUCUCCAACUCUGUCUCCCGGUUGACAGCACAUCCCAGAGAUGCAGUGUAGCCUGGAAGUCUCUACUGUGGCUGCAGCUUCAAGCAGUGGAACGUUCUGAGACCAAGGUCAAGGUGCUGGGUUCAGGACUUAUUUCUGUAACAGGCUAGGUGGAUCCUGCCUCCCCACUUUGGACGUUGGACAUAGGACCGGUGCUUGGGGCAGCCCUGAAUGUCCGUGGAAGUGGACCUGCUGUCAGAGUGGCCUGAGCCAAGCGUGCACGCUGGAGCCCGGAGGAGAAGGAGGAGGAGGAGCACCAGCCAUGCUUCGGAAAGACCUGGACGCCACUGGCAGCCAGCGCGUGCUCAGACUUAGGGGAGGAAGACUUCGGGGCACUGGGCGGAAGGGGGUUCCUGCUUCUUUCUUCCUUCCUCCUGCCGCCUGCCUCCAAGGCAAGGUCUUUCCCAGCUGGAUGGCUCUCUGGAUUGUGUAGCACCUAAGACAGGAAAGAGAGAGAAAGGAAAACAAAUCAAGUGAAACCUCUCCUGUGUGCUCAGCCUGCAGGGGCUUCGGGGCUGGGGGUGGCUGGAGUGGGAAGCUCGGUGCUCGCACAGGCGGGUUGGAGAGUGAUUCUCCACAGGAAACCUGAGAAACGUUUAUUCAGCUAACUGACACUAAACAAGGUGGGGCAGCCCGGGUGGGCCAAGGAGCCAAGCUGGUCCUGUUGGGACACACUUUCCUGCGGGGGACAUAUCCACAUCGGUGAGUCUUCCCACAUAAAGGGCAGGCUGGCAUUUAAUGCACCUUCCAGGAGGGCUCCAUGUUUAUUUCCUUCCUUUUCUUUGUUUUUGUUGUUUUUGUACUGGGGAUUGAACCCAGAGCCUCCAAACUGAGCUACAUCCCCAGCAAUUUUUUUUUGCUACCAGG
ensembl:lncRNA